UCUCCGUAGGUGAACCUGCGGAGGGAUCACUACAGGCUUGCAAAACCUCUGAAACCACUGUUUAUCUACCUGAAUCUGCUUCGGCGGGCGGUCCCAGGGGGGGGGCGGAGCCCCAAGGUGCCCGGCGAAUAGCCCUAUACGUUUUCGCCUUGAGUAACUCUGAGCCAGUAUAUUAAAGAAAAAGAAAAUUCGACAACGGAUCUCUUGGCACAGGCAUCGAUGAUGAACGUACCAGAUCGGAAGAGCAUAACUUAGUACUGCACGCACCUCGUACGACAC
rnacentral:misc_RNA from 1 species